AGUUCGGCACUUCGAGAUGGAUAAGGAAUGUCGAGCCGCCGAGCUUGCCGGGAGAUUCGGUCUUGCCAUCGCCGUGGCUGCAAUACUCCGGGAAGUAGUCCAUCAGAUACACGGCCGCGCCGUUCACGUUCAUCUGGGCGNCGCUUGCCGUCUUCCGCCGGCAUGCGCAGCGUUUCGGUCGCACCGAAGGCCUUGCUGUAGA
rnacentral:misc_RNA from 1 species